UAUCCAACCUAAACCUCCCUGACCUAGCUCCAGCCAUUCCCUGGGGUCCUGUCCCAGGUCACAGAGAGAAGAGAUGAGAGCUGCUCCC